GAUCGCGGCGCCUCCCGCCCCGCCCAUCUCGCCUGGGUCACUGUCUCUCGCGCGCACGCGCAGCAGCAGCCGCCUCGAGGAAAGAGCUCUGGCCCUGUCCCUCGGGACCGCAGGAUUCUGGCCACGCCCCUCCUGAGCUUUCUGCACGGUUCCAGGGCGGGACUUCCGGCAGCCGCAAACGAACGAGCGCGCCCGCCUCUUUCGAGAAACGAUGCGCUAUUAUUACUCGUGCACGUAGUGAGGCGGGAUCAAGUCUUUUUUAAAUACGUAAUCUCAAAUAGCAAUUGAAAAGUAUGGUGCAAUACAAAUCUAGCAAUUGACAAGUAUGAUGGAGUACAGAUCUGUGCACACUUCAGUAACUGCAUUGGAUUGUACUGAUUGUAUCUGGACGGAUAUUAACAUCGGUUGAGCUUUCUUGUUGGUUCUGUGCCAACCUGGAGAUUUGUUGGGGGAGUGGAGUCUGCAGAGGGUAAGGCAUAGGGAGAAAAGGAAACUGCACGUUUUCCUUUUUCUCCAGGGGAAUUGAUCUCUGUUGUCUGGAAACAAACUGUAAUUCCAGAAGUUCCCCAGCCACUGCCUGGAGGUUGGCAACCGUACUAUGGACAGAAUGUGUUAAGCAUGAAAUUGGGACCAUCCUAUAGUGAAUUCCUUCCUUCAUAGAUUCCAUACAGUGGGAGCCAUAACAUAAAACGCAUAUGUAUGGGUGAUGGAGAAUUUUGACCUACUGGGAGACUGAUCUUGCCAGCUGGGAAUUUGAACCCAAAAAGGGAAGACUGAGGCAUUAUGUCCUGAGGUUCCUCCUCCCCAAAUCCCACUCUCCUCCAGCUGCACCUGAAUAUCUUCUGGGAUUUCCCAACCUGGAGCUGUCAACCCUGGAAGAGUGAAAUUCAAGACCAGGAGCACCUUAAUGUAGAGGUAAAUUGUGGUGGACUCUAAUCUGGAGAACUGGAUUUGAUUCCUCACAUCUUCACAUGAAGCCUUCUGGCUGACCUUGGGCCAGUCACAGUUCUCUCAAAACUCCCUCAUCCCUGACAAGAAAUUCAAUUAUUGUCAGAACUUUGGUCAAGCUUCUCAGGCUAUGAAAUUAUUCUCACUCCUUUAAUUGGAGGGCCCUGUCCUGAUUAGAUUCUGUUUAACUGUUUGAUAUUGUGAGAACGAGCAGGGAGUAUUAGCUACGCAUCUCUCAAAACAUUAAAGAGAUAUUGUGAUUAUUUGUGCCAGGCUGACCCAAAUCACUAAUUGGCCGACAUGAACAUAAGAACAUAAGAACAUAAGAACAAGCCAGCUGGA